rnacentral:rRNA from 1 species
UACGUAGGGGGCCAGCGUUGUUCGGAAUUACUGGGUGUAAAGGGUUCGUAGGCGGUGUGGCAAGUUGGGAGUGAAAUCUCUGGACUCAACCCAGAGACGGCUUCCAAAACUGCCGUGCUUGAGUGUGGGAGAGGCUCGUGGAAUUGCAGGUGUAGCGGUGAAAUGCGUAGAUAUCUGCAGGAACACCCGUGGCGAAAGCGGCGAGCUGGACCACUACUGACGCUGAAGAACGAAAGCUAGGGGAGCAAACAGG